CCGGCCAUAGCAAGAACAAAGAGAGGAAAAGAAGAACAAGAACCCUAAGUAGAAAAAUUGAAGAAAAAGUGUGGGAUUUCAAGGGAUUAAGCUAAUAAAGGUAAAAAUCCUUGAUUUUAUCUUGUGAUUUACAUUACCCAUGCUUUCUUUUUCAUUUUCCAUGCUUAGAACUCAAGAUUUCAUGAGGACACCCUUGCUGGUCGAACACCUAGGAGAGAGAAUUUGAUGAUGUUUUGGUUAGAUUCUAAGAUAUUCUAGUGUUUUUAGUUAGUUAGUGAUGUGUAGCAUAAAAAGCCAACAAGAAAAAUUCAUUUUCUCCCAUUACCCAUCAUUGACUGAAUUUUCUAGGGAGGAUAUUGAGGCUGAAAUUGAUGAUAUUUCAUGAUAUUUUGGUGGUGUUUAAUGAUUGGUGAGGCUAGAAAUUUAAUGGGAAAUUUUGGCAUGAAAAUCUAAAUUUUUACCUAAUGGAUAGGCAUGUGCGAUUUAUGAUUUAGACUGAUAAAUUGAAUCGUAUUCACAGUCAUGGAGGUAUUUUAAGUAUAAUUGGAGUGUAGAAAGUGAAAGAAAUCGAUUUAGAGUUAAAUUAGAGGUUUUAGCCAAUUACACCGAGAAUAGUACGAAUUAGGUCGAGUACCGUAUUUAAACGACUAUUCGAACAUUUUGCAUCACAUUUCGUGCAUUCAUAUAGAUUUAUAGAGCCUAAAAUAGUUUAUGAUAAAUUGACACAAUUUAUUGAAAUUCGUGUCAUGUAUGACGUAUAGGUGGUGAGCCCUCUAACAAGGGUAAAGAGAUUGUGCCCGAAGACCAGAAAUAGGAGUAUAUCGAACUCCUAGUACAGUGAGUAACCUUACUAUCAUUUUAAUUAUCUAAAGUAUGUUUUUAUUCAGUUUUGGUGAAAUUUUAUGAAAAUGAGUUUAAAUGGUAAAUCUUUGUGUUUUACAAACAAAAUGUGUUUACAGGAAACGAUUUUAUAAAUUUUCUUGAAAUUGAAUAAUAAUUUUGAAAAAUAGAGUAGUUGGAGACCACUUGUUAUGUUGUAAAUUUAUUAUUUGAAUCGAAUGGCUUAUGACAAUAUUUGCAUGAAUGACUGAAUUGGUAUUUGUAUUGAAAUGUAUAAACUGUUGUUUGCCUUGAAAGGCUGUGAAUUAAAAUAAUUGCCAUGUCAUGCUAUUGUAAAUUUUAUUGAAUUAGUGGAUUAUAUAUUAAUUAAUCACUGCAGUAUGGGGUUUUUGUGGACCAGCCUUUUAGAGGGGCACGGUAAACUCCAUUAUUUCUUACCUCGAUCGGAGAGGCACAUAGGGGAUCUCUCGAGGUACAGUUUAGGGUUCACUUCACGCUAAACCACCACGUGAGAGAGAACUCAGCCAACGCCAAGGAACGAUUGUGAUGUCCAACGAAAAAUGUGUUUUAUGCGAAAUAUGAAUUUUUAACAGCCUUGGCAGACUAGGUUGGAUGCCCUACACAAGGUAUCAUCAAGUAUGAGUUUUGGCAUGAGCCAAAGUUUUAAGAAAUUCAUUAGCCAAGUUUAUUACUCGAUUUAUAUGAAUUGAUUUUAUUUGGUUGAAAUGAGUUGAAAGGUAAUGAAAUUAUAGUAUGAUGACUUACUUUAAUUGUCUCCAUUUACUCAACUUUAGAUAGUUUAGAUGGUAUCUGUUUACUCACUGGGAUUUUAUAAUUCACCACCCUCCUUUUCAACCAUUUCAGGGCUAAGGUAGCUUGUGGAUAGCAGCUAUCGUUAAGGAUUAUAGUCGGCUUUAUUACUCCAAAAACUGUAGGUUUACUGCCUUUGUGCACUUUUGUUCCUUGUGGGCCCACGAGUCACUGUAAAGUAAAUUUUAUAUUCUGGUUAUCUAUAUUAUAGUACGUAUGAAUUUAUUUAGCUUUUACAUUACAAAAAUUAUUUAUUGAUGACUCUAUAAAUAUUAUUUUACAAGAAAUUAGAAUAUUUUAUUGAAUAUUUUAUUUUAUUCAAAUAGUUGCAAUAUCAUUUUUAAUAAAUGUUUAGACACCCAACUUUAUUUUAAAUCAUGAAAUAUGUGUUUUAUACUCAUCUACUACAUUUUUAGUUGGGAUCGGAAAAUUUUGAGAAAAAAUGAUGAAAACGCCCUUGUGAGGCGAAAAUUAUUUUUCCAUGGUUUUGAAGGGGAAAAAGCUUAAAAUUCUUUAAAAACGAGGUUUGGCGAUGAUUACUCACAGGGGAGUCGAGAAAAUGGUACUAAAGCCUUACGGGGUUCCGAUUGGCAUUUCGGAUAACGAAUGUCUACUGGGACGUCGCGGCGGUUAUCACGGGCUCGAAGGGAGUACUGGGUCAUGACAAUUAGAUUGGUAUCAGAGCUUUUGGUUUUAAAGUUGUUUUAAAGUUUAUAGUGUCAGUGUGGCCCAAGUUAAGUUAGGUUUGAUAGAAUAGAAUACGUGCAUCUGCAUACAGAAUUUGGAGUUGUUAAGACUCGUUUUGUUUCUUCUUAUAGAUCUUGUGGGAGUAUAAGUCAUAGACAGGGAGCUAUAUGAACUCUUGUUCCCAAUAAUCCAGUUCCUUGUUAAUGUCAUGUAAAGGUCAUAAGUAGGGUCGUUGUCCGGGUUUAAGAUGCCACUUGUGACACGUGCGAGUGUUGGAGAAAUCUUCCAACGAAUGCUCCUAAUGAAAGAUUAAUGAAAUGAUAUAUCCCUCCGAUUAAGGAUGGAGAAAUCUGGAGUUGGACUAAUAGGUCGUGAUAAUUUAUUCAUUUGGUGCAGUUAUAAUUGAACUCAUGUUUGUCAAUUAGAAAAAGAUUUGGGGACUAUGGAUUGUAUUGGAAUUAAUAUAAAGGAACACGUGUGAUAAUGGUAAUAAGGGGCGCACUUUGAUUAGAAUGAAUAGUUAUGGUUGUAAUUCACUUGGAGUAUAUAAAUUAAGCAUUGAAGUAAGAGUAAAC
rnacentral:lncRNA from 1 species